rnacentral:lncRNA from 1 species
UCUCGCAGAAGUACUAUCAGGAUUCGGUAAUAACAAGACGAGAAAAACAUUUGUUUACAUAAAAUAUAUACUCUUGUGGUAUUUCAUGGUAACAUGCCAUUUUUGCCUUCUCUAGACCGACUUAUCAGCCAUUGUGCGUACUGUCCCUCCGAGAGUUCUGCUCGGAGUUCUUGCGUUGGAGAACAUACCAAGAAUUGUGAGUCGACAUAUAUAUUGUAGGCGUAGUGGUGCCGAGAAUGUAGAGGUUUUAUCUGUUUGAAUUAUAUGAUGUAGAAGUGUAUCAGCUUACCAUCUAGGGUACAAAAAUUUAGUAAUACUGAAGGCCAGAGGUCAAGAAAAUCAUGAAAUCAAGUACAAUCUACGGGUUGCACAUCAUGUAUGUGUGCUUCAGGUUGCAAGUACAAGAUACGGUAUUUUUCUUACUCCUUUUGUUUUGCCGUGUAUUAAUUGGCAUGCAGCUGCUGUUUCCAACACAUACUUUCCUACUGUUGCUGAAAUCCUUGGUCUUUUUGGAGAAGAUAUAAUCAAAAGGUUUUCUACAAUAUUUGAGAGGAACCGAGAGGUAUUAGUACGGUGGUACCUGACGUUUCCUCAAAAAGGAGGCACAUUGCCACUGCAAAUAUGUGAAGAGGCGAGUACGCGGUGUACCAUCCCUACCAGAGGUGGAAACAGAUAAUGUUGUCCCUCACACGGUACGCAGUUAACAUAAUUUUUCCCUUUCCUUUUGAAGAUAAAUGUAAAUCUAGACCUAUAUUCUUUUCUCCUUGUAUGUUUUUCUACGGGAAUUUAUGUUAGCCUGCAAUCUUUUGGUAAGCAACACUGAGUACAACGUAUACGAGGUACACACACUAAGUAGAAUUGUCUCGGAAGGGCUAGACUUGCUUUUCUUAAUGACGUUGCUCGUAUUGUUCUCAGCUGCCUGGAACUUGUGCCGGCACAAUAGAGGUGGAUGUUGUCGCAUGGUACGUUAGCACUACCGAGCCGUCCUCGAGUGUAGAGUACACAAGCUUUGGAAGGUGCUAGCUGCACUUGGGACUAAAAAGAGUCGACAAUUCCUAUAACUCUCUCUUCCAUCAUAUCUACUGACACAGCAGGGUACUUUCCUAACACCUACCAUUUCCAGGCGGAUAUAUGUUUGAGCAGCAAAGACGAUUGAUACCAAUACUGAAGAAAAUGGAUCCUAUUGGGCCUAGCUAGUCAUGCAGUCGAGCAUCCAAGGAGAAGACGUUAUUGUAGGAUGAAGGUUGAUGGAUGCUGGAGGCUUCUGCUCAAAUAUAU